UGGAAAAAGUACCCAAUUGCCAUACUUGAGUAAAAGUAAAUAUACCUUAAUAGAAAAUGACUCAAAUAAAAGUGGAACGAGUGUUUCAAACACAUCAAACACGUGUUUGACUACUUUCUGUUUCGUUUAUGGCAGUAAUCUGCUGAAGGUAAAACUGCAGUUGAAUAAUCCAUUCUCAGUUUUUGUUACAACGGGCAGUUUGAAGGAUCAUGUGAUUUAAAUUUGGAUACUGGAAGAAAGAGUUCAACAACACCAACUCUUGGCAUGGAAUUUGUUGCUACUAUAUAAGAGUCCAAGAGAUAUGUGGUCUGGAAGAUGGACAAGGACAACCUCAUCAGUUUAGACAAGUCCUAGUAAAAUUCUGGUUCCAGUGGAAAGAGUGAUACAACUGAUUGAACGUACAGUAUGUCGGCAGGAAGGAGUGGGAAUAGGAUUCUACAGUCCACUAGAUGUUACCAUUAACACAGACGAGGGAGAGGUCCUCUGUCGAACCUACCAGAUGAACAACUUCACAGUUCACCAGACCUCACCUCCAUACAAACAGGUUGUUUUUGUCUUGGAGCAAAACAAAACUGGCUUACCUCUGGAUUAUAUUAAGAAGCUGGAGGCAGUGGAAACCAACGGCUACAGCGGUCCGUCCAUUUUAGAUGACAUCACCGCGUUGAAACCUGCUGAUAAAGGAAAAAGCUUGUAGAUGGUACCAGAGGAAAGAAGAUGAAAGAGAA